GUGAAACAAGGGUUGCAAUUAGUAGCGGAAUUUCACAUGUAGGAGGAAUUUGGAACUUGAUAGUGACCUUUUGACCCUUUACGGCAACAGUAAAACGAGGGUAAGAACCAUACUUCACUCCUUUGCUCUUGAGCAAGUUUUCCAAUCUGAGUCUCUCCCUUUUUGCUGUUUCUUCAAGGGGAUUGUAGCUUGGAAUUGGAAGGGAAUCAAAAGGCG
rnacentral:misc_RNA from 1 species